CAACCUCCUCCUCCAUUUACUGUGACGUGCUCUGUUCAAAGCCAUCAAUUCCUUCCUCUUUUUACUGGUUCUCCCUUUCUUCAUCAACUCUAUCUUCUACUCCAGGUUUUCAAAGACCAAAAAGCUACUAGCCGGACAAGAUCGCUGCUGUAGAGACGCUGGACAGGAAUUGUAUUCAUCUACUCACUUCACUUGAGGUCAGAGACGGAGUUGCGCACUUUCAUUCCCGCAUUGGCUGGGAUUGAGGUUGGAGUUGGCUAGGCUUUGCAAAGGUUUAAGACCAGUAGGCUGCAAUAUGGCGUGGAUGCCGCGAAUCUUUGGGACAAAUUUGACAUCAACACUAGGUCCUUCUGCACCUUAUUCCUCUAGAUUCUUCUCCAAAUCAGCUCCGUACAUCAUGGCAGACCUAUGGAUACGAUAAAGUCUUGUUUUGACGCUUGCUACUGCCGCAAAGGUUGGAAUCCCCGAGUUUGUAAAUGGAAUAGGGAAUGGAGUUGAAUCCCAUGUUGCUAAGCUUGAAACAGAAAUUGGUGACUUCCAGAAGCUUCUCGUCUGUCGUACCCUCAAGCUCAAGAAGCUGGGCUUUCCUUGCAAACAUCUGAUUGGAAGCAGGUUCCUGAUGGCUCCCUUGUAUGAAAGUUGAACUGACUUGAGUUUUCAAGCAAUUGUUUGUGGCUAGCGCUUAGUAAUAGCAGGUCUUUUGUGGUUAUAUGGGUAAAAGGUGCUUCCUUAACGUACUACAUAGCAUUCUACCCCUUGAUUGACUCUGUCGCUGAUAGAAUGCCACGACUUAUAUACAGUAGAAAGAAGAGAAAAUUUGGAGGGUAUAGGGAUGGUUAUGCUAUGAAGAGUAACUUCCCUGCCAUGCUGUCAUAUGUUGCCUAAUGUGUUGUCAAUGAUCUGAGUGAGUUUAUUAUGCGUCGUCAAUUUCUAUGAGGAUGUGGUGUCAAUUUCCUAGGGGUUAGUAUGCUCAGUUAUUUUGAUUUCAUUGUAAUAUAUACGUACUGGACUGAUUAUUAGGGAAUCUAUGUGAGCUAUUAUUCAGCCCUUUUAUGGGAGAUUAGAUUUUCUUGGUGGCUUUUUUCUGUUAGAUUAUUCGGACCUAGCUGAAGAACGAUAACUCACUGGCUUGUUAAACAGGCUGCAGGGAUAUGACCAUUUUAUCUUUGGCAGAAAUAAAGGUUUUGUGAUGUUUCCACUAUCUUGUUUCAAGACUCCUUUAAUUGAUAUUCGUUUUGGACCAUAAGACAUUAAAAUGCGUGGGGCCUACAUGCGAACUCUUUGUAACCUAUAGUUUUUGCUUUGCAGAGGAAGUUAAUAUUGAAAUAUGCACACAAGUACAGGCUGGGAUUAUGGAGGCCUCGAGCUGAACUAAUCAAAUCGUGAUCGGUUUCUUAAUAGCUUUUCUUUAUCACACCUGAAGUUCUAGAUGCGCCAAUAUGUGAAUGCUGGAUUUCGCAUGGAAAGAACAAGUCUAUUGCUUCUGAUAAUACCCAACUUCAUCCCAUUCAGAACAUCUGGAUAAUUUUUGGUAUUUGCACCAUUGAAACACAAGAGACUUGUCUUAAUUGACCGUCGGUGUGGCUGGUCAUUCUGGUACAUUUACUGCAUUUUUCUAAUCGUAUGACUUGUUUUUGGUAAGUAUGAGACUGAUGAAUUGAAAGAUUCAGCAAUGCUUCAUUUAUUCCAUGAUAGCUAUUGUAAAACUCAACGAUGCUCUUUAUUUGCUCUUUUUUUUUUUUUGGUGUCAAGCACAUGUAUCUUCUUAUUCUACUAAGUCUAUUUGAAACACUAUCAAUCCUUAAAAUGUGAGCACUUUUAAACUUUGAUUUAUUA